UCGAAGUCCGUGAGCCAUGCGUCAAGAAAAGCCGCUAUCGUUUAUACCGUACCCGUACCGUAAACCGACACAGGUGGAUGAGGAGAGAAUCCUAAGGCCGGCGGAAGAAGCAUUGUCAAGGAACUCGGCAAAAUGGCCCCGUAACUUAGGGAUAAGGGGUGCCUGGGAAACCAGGCCGCAGAGAAUAGGCUCAAGCAACUGUUUAGCAAAAACACAGGUCUAUGCGAAACCGAAAGGUGAGGUAUAUGGGCUGACGCCUGCCCGGUGCUGGAAGGUUAAGAGGAGAGGUUAGCGCAAGCGAAGCUUUGAAUUUAAGCCCCAGUAAACGGCGGCCGUAACAAUAACGGUCCUAAGGUAGCGAAAUUCCUUGUCGGGUAAGUUCCGACCCGCACGAAAGGCGUAAUGAUUUGAGCGCUGUCUCGACAAUGCAUCCGGUGAAAUUGAAGUACCAGUGAAGAUGCUGGUUACCUGCGCCAGGACGGAAAGACCCCAUGGAGCUUUACUCCAGUUUGGUACUGGGACUCGGUAUUGCAUGUACAGGAUAGGUGGGAGGCUAGGAGACAGUAACGCCAGUUAUUGUGGAGCCGCUGUUGGGAUACCACCCUUGCAGUAUUGGGUUUCUAACCAGCCGCCGUGACCCGGCGGUGGGACAAUGCCAGACGGGGAGUUUGACUGGGGCGGUCGCCUCCGAAAGGGUAUCGGAGGCGCCCAAAGGUUCCCUCAGAAUGGACGGAAACCAUUCGAAGAGUGCAAAGGCAGAAGGGAGCUUGACUGCGACACCGACGGGUGGAGCAGGUACGAAAGUAGGGCUUAGUGAUCCGGUGGUAUUAAGUGGGAAUGCCAUCGCUCAACGGAUAAAAGCUACCCUGGGAUAACAGGCUUAUCACUCCCAAGAGUUCACAUCGACGGAGUGGUUUGGCACCUCGAUGUCGGCUCAUCGCAUCCUGGGGCUGUAGUAGGUCCCAAGGGUUGGGCUGUUCGCCCAUUAAAGCGGUACGCGAGCUGGGUUCAGAACGUCGUGAGACAGUUCGGUCCCUAUCCGGCGUGGGCGUAGGAUAUCUGAGAGGAGCUGUCCUUAGUACGAGAGGACCGGGAUGGACGGGCCGCUGGUGCAUCGGUUAGACUGCCAAGUCUACGGCCGAGUAGCCAAGCCCGGAAGGGAUAAACGCUGAAGGCAUCUAAGCGUGAAGCCCCCCUUAAGAUGAGAUAUCCCAUUCGAAAGAAGUAAACCCCCUUGAAGACGACGAGGUAGAUAGGGCAGAGGUGGAAGUGUGGCAACACAUGGAGCUGACUGUUACUAAUCGGGUGAGGGCUUGACCAU
rnacentral:rRNA from 1 species